CCCGCACAAGCGGCGAGCAUGCGGAUUAAUUCGAUGCAACGCGAAGAACCUUACCAAGGCUUGACAUACACCGGUAACGCCCAGAGAUGGGUGCCCCUUGUGUCGGUGACAGGUGGUGCAUGGUUGUCGUCAGCUCGUGUCGUGAGAUGUUGGGUUAAGUCCCGCAACGAGCGCAACCCUCGUCCUAUGUUGCCAGCGGGUCAUGCCGGGGACUCAUGGGAGACUGCCGGGGUCAACUCGGAGGAAGUGGGAUGACGUCAAAUCAUCAUGCCCCUUAUGUCUUGGGCUUCACGCAUGCUACAAUGGCCGGUACAAAGGGCUGCGAUACCGCGAGGUGGAGCGAAUCCCAGAAAGCCGGUCUCAGUUCGGAUUGGGGUCUGCAACUCGACCCCAUGAAGUCGGAGUCGCUAGUAAUCGCAGAUCAGCGACGCUGCGGUGAAUACGUUCCCGGGCCUU
rnacentral:rRNA from 1 species